GUGGCGAUAGCGAAGAGGUCACACCCGUUCCCAUGCCGAACACGGAAGUUAAGCUCUUCAGCGCCGAUGGUAGUCGGGGGUUUCCCCCUGUGAGAGUAGGACGCCGCCAAGC
rnacentral:rRNA from 4 species